GUGACAUCAGCAAUUUCAGAAGUCAAGCCUGAAGGCUACACAAACCCCAUCAGAGAGAGGAUGAGCCUCUGAGGUGAGUGAGACGCUUCAGUGUAACAAGCACAAGGGGAACGACACACUGGAAAGCAGCAGCAUCAGCAAAGAGACAAGGUGACAGAUGUGAACUGGAGGAAGGCUGAUCCCUCAGGCUCACUCAGCACGCUGGGAUUAUCCCUGCAGGUCCACUGCUGUCUCUGAGAAACGCUGAGAGUAGAGCUGUCAACUAGGAAGAGGAGUGGGGGGAAAAAUCCCUGUUGGAAUCAAUGCUGAAUUGCAGAGGUGCAAACUGGGAUGGAAAACCUAUGGCUCCGGGGAGCCAUCACUGAGAACUGAGAGGUGGAAUGCCUUGGGGCAGGAAAGGAAUGUUCCAGAGGCCAGAGCAAAGCCUACAAGAAUGACAACCUGAGGACAACCAUGAGAGCCAGGAACAGGCCAUCAAACACAGCUUUAGAGGUC